UCCCCGCCCCACAGCUCGACCUCGCUCGUGCGUAGCUACUGUUCACCGAGCGUGUCCAAGUGAAGUGCUCGCUGGCUCCCUCCCUCCCUCGCUCCGCGAAGUUCCCGUUCUCUUCCUCCUCCUCCGCCUCCUCCUGCUCGGCCUUUCUCUUUUUCAACGCUCCGUACGGUCUAUUUAAUACGCAAGAUUCUCAGUGCCCGUUUUUUCAAUUGCAGAGGCAUUGAGGGUGAAGGCAUGAGAGCGAGGCUGGGCGGCAGCCUCGCGCCUCGGCGUGUUCUGCUAGCGAUUCUUUGUGAAAAAGCUGUUAAAACCAAAAGGAUAGGGACGAAUUUUAGCAGAAGGUAUCUCAGCAACAAAGCGUGUGGAAGCAGAAGGUGACAUGGGAACGAAAUGUUUGACU